rnacentral:lncRNA from 1 species
GGAGGCGAUGGGAGCGGGGGAGGCUGGUCUACUAAAUCCUUAGCGCGGAAGAGCUUACUCUGUGGUGUGAGACUAGAAGAAGCCGAGGCGAGGAAUUUCGAGGAGUUUCUGGCGCGGCAGGCGUAGCCGGGGGGUUAUCGCAGAAGGAUGGGGCACCUUUUUGGGUGGUUGGUUUCGGGUGUCUUUAGGGUCUUAUUAUGUUAGGUGUGUGUUGUUGGAAUGUAAGGGGGCUUAACUGCUCUUCGAAGCGGAACGCCGUUAGGGCGGUUAUUUCCAAGUAUUGUAAUAGGAUAGUGUGUUUGCAGGAGUCCAAAGUGAACUUUGUGUCUAA